rnacentral:lncRNA from 1 species
AAUAAUGUUUUAUCCCUGUAACAUCAAUCAACAAUUCUUGUCCACAAUCAUAUGAAUAACUCGUAAUCAUAAUUGUGAUUCUAAAUUCUUCUUCGCACCCAAGACGAAGAUAAUUUUCAUCACCUAUCUUCACCUGAAACAUCAAAAAUCAUGGUUAUACCAAAUCACAAUUCAUGCUCAUAAUCAUACUAAUAAAUUCAUCUUUGCA